GGCCAGGGGGGAAAAACCAUUAUAUGUUAAAACACUUAGUAUGGGCAAGCAGGGAGCUGGAAAGAUUUGCACUUAACCCUGCCC
rfam:HIV-1 isolate 99BW4754.7 from Botswana, complete genome.